rnacentral:rRNA from 1 species
GACGAACGCUGGCGGCGUGCCUAAUGCAUGCAAGUCGAGCGGGCUACAGUCUUCGGAUUGUAGCUUAGCGGCGAACGGGUGAGUAACACGUAGGUAAUCUACCCUUCAGAGGAGGACAACCUCAGGAAACUGAGGCUAAACCUUCAUACGUUCACUGGUAGGGAUACUGGUGAAGAAAGAGUUACCUUAGUGGUAGCUGCUGAAGGAUGAGCCUGCGGCCCAUCAGGUAGUUGGUGAGGUAACGGCUCACCAAGCCGAAGACGGGUAACCGGUCUGAGAGGAUGUCCGGUCACACUGGGACUGAGACACGGCCCAGACUCCUACGGGAGGCAGCAGCAGGGAAUCUUGGGCAAUGGGCGAAAGCCUGACCCAGCGACGCCGCGUGGAGGAAGAAGUCCUUCGGGGCGUAAACUCCUGGACUGGGGGACGAGGAAGGACGGUACCCCAGUAGAAAGGGACGGCUAACUACGUGCCAGCAGCCGCGGUAAAACGUAGGUCCCGAGCGUUGUUCGGAUUCACUGGGUGUAAAGGGCGCGUAGGUGGUUGUCUGUGUCUCAUGUGAAAACUCAGGGCUCAACUCUGAGAUUGCGUGGGAAACUAGGCAGCUAGAGGACGGUAGAGGGGAGUGGAAUUCCCGGUGUAGCGGUAAAAUGCGUAGAUAUCGGGAGGAACACCGGUGGCGAAGGCGGCUCUCUGGGCCGAUCCUGACGCUGAGGCGCGAAAGCUAGGGGAGCGAACCGGAUUAGAUACCCGGGUAGUCCUAGCCGUAAACGAUGGGUGCUAGGUGUUGGGGGGUAAAGACCCUUCAGUGCCGAAGCCAACGCGAUAAGCAUCCCACCUGGGGAGUACGGCCGCAAGGUUGA